UAUCGUAGUUUUCUCCCCACCACCUCUGCGCCUGCCACUUGUUGAACAAUUGUCUACUGCAAUGAACGAUAAAAAAAAGGUCACAAAAUCAAAUCAGGACGGGACAGGUCGCGACUCAGAGAACAGAACAGGACAGGAAAGGGUGGAGAAUAAUUUAUUUAUCAUCUAUUGUUGACUGAAUUUCUGUCUGUCGCUUUUUUUUUAACUUACUCGAAUCUAAUCCGUUUCAGAUCGUUGCUGCCAUGAGACAGAUUCAGGAAAGUAAUAUGAACACCGGGUUCGACUUGUGCGACCCAUUCCUUUGGUUCCUCGCUGUCGUCUUCGACCAUUACCGGUGGAUCCCAAACCUCCGAAUUUCGGCCGUUGUCGGACGUACGUG
rnacentral:lncRNA from 1 species